UAUAUUGUAGAGUUUCAUAUAAUGAUUUCUUGCUCGAGAUUAGGCUAAAUUAAAUGGAAAACAUUGAAAGGAAGUUGAUAAAAUCUCACAGUACAAGGGUUUGGCUGGUAUCAGAAAUGGAAAAAUCCACCCUCAAAGCAGGACAAGCAAGUUCUUCAGCUGAAGGCAAGAUGCAUUUUUUUUAAACCAGAGCAGCUCUAAUCUAUAUUGGACUUAUGCCAGUAUGUUGGGACCCUGGUGCUGCAGGUGAUAUGUUAAUGAUAAUUGGGCAGAGAUUUCUUCAAACAAGCUGAUUGAAAUCCCUGGCGAUGGUUUGACAGGUGUCGGAGUAGGCUAUUUCUUGUUUGCUGAUGGCGACACUCAGUACCUCACGUGCCUGCUCAACAUUGGCCUUUGGCAGUAUGUAAGCCUUGGUCAGGAUCACGAAGAAGAAUUCUGAUGGGGUAUCUGCAGCUGUUUUUGCCAUUUUCACAGUAAAAUUAAAGACAAAGUCAACCGUGAACACAAAAAUAUCAGUGAACAGCAAAUGCACGUGUAACCAGUACGAAGCUGAGCCACAACUGACGUCUGGCGGCCUCUGCUAGUGCUGCCACAUCACACCUGAGUGAUGUCAGCUGUUGGCGCACCAAACAAGCCUUGUUACGACACGCUCCGCACUCCACGAAAAAGACUUGGGUUUUUGGGGCUUUUCAGAUUUCAGAAAUUUGGAUGCUGCCUGACUUGCCGAGUUCCUCCAGCAUUUUGUACACAAUGGUAACCAAGAAAUGAUUUUUCAGUGCAGAAAGUCUUGCAGAAUGACAUUGCUUUUUUUAUAAAAACAAAUGACUCAAUGGGAGAAAAAUGUGAUCCAGCAGGUUUACAAAAUGUCAUCGGAGAAAUGAUAAGGUGCAAGCAGCUCACAAGACAAAGGGAAAAUUUUGAACUAGGUGGAGGCGAGCAAUACGGAAUGAGAACCUUGAAGCUGUCCUAGACUGGAAAGGACAAAGCCCAUGAAGCAAAAUAAACACUUUUCUAAAAGUGCCAACAGACCUAAUUCUAGCUAUGCAAUGGAGUGCCUUUCUAUUCAUAGAACUUGUUUUGGGAAAAUAAACAUUUCUGAAUACUUGUGAACCAAUUGGAAUGGAAGGAAUGUUGGUCUUAAACGUCCUUUUUAUGAUUGCAAGACCCUGGUGGACAUUGGUAAUGCAAAGAACUGCAAAUCAGCCCAUUGGUUCAUUGGUGAGACUGAUGGCAGGGGAGCUGUGUGGCCUCAGAUGUUGAACAGACGAGGCUCUCAUGUCACAGCGUUGCCUGUUACAGCCCGGGGAGGAGGCACCGGAAGUGGUGUGGGAGAGAACAGUAAUGUGGCAGGUGCACUGGAAUCUGUGCUGCGUUCCAGCAGACCAGCUCUCCAGUUGAGUCUGCUCUCUGGUGUUUGCUCCCUGGAAGACAAGCUUUACUGUCUCUUUCUGUGGAUGUGGGACAUGAGGACCUGCUAUGUCCUUGUCUUGCGGGAACAUGGUUCCAAGACAACAUCUCAUGCACCAUUAAUCUUAAGGCCAGGCCACUCUGAGAUUUGUGCUAAUUUUUUUUUGUGACUAUAUGUGCUAUUGUAACAUGUACUUUGCGCUGUAUUUGACUGUAUGUACUAUGUUUGGCUCCUUGGCUGCUGAGGAACAUGGUUUCAUUUAACUGUAUACUUGUGUAUGGUUGAUCUUGAACUUGAAUGGAAGUUCUCAGGUUACAAUAACCACAAGUGAUACAUUAUGCAUCUGUCAGACCCUAAUUAUAUUACUGGCAAUGGAACAUCAUCAGAUGUAAAAGCCUGCACUAUGUAAAAUGGUGGAAUAGCCAUGAAUACAUGUAAUUCCCAAUUUACACAAGAGUUUUAUCCCAGAAGGCAUUCUUUCAGGCAAAUUUUAUGCAAGUCAGAUUUCACUGAAGAAUAUACAUACUUAGUGUUCCAUUUUAUAUUUUGAUGCUAUCAUAUUCUAUGCACUUCAUCAAUAUACUGUACUCUAAAAGAAAUCUCAAGGAUUAAUUUGAACUUUAUUCUCUAUAUAUUCAUAUCCACUCUCUCAAUUCAUAUAAAGAAGCCAAUUGGCCUACUAAUCUGCAAAUCUUUUUGAUUGGAGGAAACCCACACGGUGACAGGGAGAAUGUAAACACAAAUGAUUCUGCAGAUGCUGGAAAUCCAGAGUGACAUGCACAAAAUGCUAGAGGUACCCAGCAGGUCAGGCAGUUUCUAUGGUAGUCCGAGACUCUUCAUCAGGACUUCAACAUAGAUCCUGCCUGUCCUGUCGAGUUCCACUGGCAGCUUGCACAGGGAGAACGUACCAACUGCACAAAGGUAGUAUGACAGAUCAGAAUUGAACAUGUGUCAUUGGUGCAGUAGUUCCACUAGACACAGCUCCGUGCUACCUUUGUUUCAAUAUUCUUAGCUUCAUACAAACUUCAGCCUUAUCGUGGAUUGUCAUAGGGCUAAGUUUCACAGGUACUGAUGUUGUUCCUUUGUCUUCAGUUAAUGGUUUUUAUAUUUCCAAGAACACUGCAGAUAGUUACUUUGUAAUUACAGUGGAUUUUAUGGGCGUCAAAGCUUCCACAUGCCCUCAGUCCAUCCGUUGCUCUUCACAAUGGUGUUCAUAUUGAAUGCGGCUGUAUGCAGAGCAAAGAGCUUGAAAUCAAAGUUAAUAUUUGUCCACAUUCAUAAUGCAACACAACAUGAAGUUUUUUUCAAUUGUAUGAUCGCAUGGCAUUUCCUCCUACCUUUGGGCAUGAAUGCAACUCAAAAGAUGAAAAUGCAUCAAUUUACCCAGUAGCCACAUAGAGUCUGCCUACGGCUGAAAUGUGAAGUGUACUCACUUGUUUACUGGCAUCACCAUGAAAAUCUGUAUAACCCAGAAUUUCUUAUAUGAAGAUAAAUUUGCAUAAUUCCAAUGUUACAUUUCCUGGGGGGGGUAUUCCAGUGUUACAUAUCUUGCAGUAUAUUUAUCAAAUGAUGAACUUUAGGAUGAAUUGAGAACAGAUUUCACAAAACUCAUAUGCUUUUGAAGAUGCCUUCUUGGAUGGUCUGAACCCAGUACAGCUUCAUACUUUACACUGAGUUUCUAAAAUUGACAGCUGAUAACUUGUUCAAUUAGAAUUAUAUUUCCAGUGGCAUUGCACAUAUUUCAAGAACAUUUAGUUUUCAAAUAUUUGACAGGGCUUGAUAUGGUGCCAAAAAUGAAGGUGUGGCAGUCAAUGACGCACGAGCUGUUGGUUUACGUCU